rnacentral:rRNA from 1 species
UCGAGAAUCUUCGGCAAUGGGCGCAAGCCUGACCGAGCGACGCCGCGUGCGGGAUGAAGGCCUUCGGGUUGUAAACCGCUGUCAGAGGGGAUGAAAUGCCAGGGGGUUAUCCCUCUGGUUUGACAUAUCCUCAGAGGAAGUACGGGCUAAGUUCGUGCCAGCAGCCGCGGUAAGACGAACCGUACGAACGUUAUUCGGAAUUACUGGGCUUAAAGGGUGCGUAGGCGGUCCGGAAAGUUGGGUGUGAAAUCCCUCGGCUCAACCGAGGAAUUGCGCCCAAAACUUCCGGGCUCGAGGGAGACAGAGGUGAGUGGAACUUAGGGUGGAGCGGUGAAAUGCGUUGAUAUCCUAAGGAACACCAGUGGCGAAAGCGACUCACUGGGUCUCUUCUGACGCUGAGGCACGAAAGCUAGGGGAGCGAACGGGAUUAGAUACCCCCGUAGUCC